CCUACGGGUGGCUGCAGUGAGGAAUAUUGGUCAAUGGGCGCAAGCCUGAACCAGCCAUCCCGCGUGCAGGAAGACGGCCCUAUGGGUUGUAAACUGCUUUUCCAGGGGGAGAAACUUGCGCACGUGUUGCGCAAUUGACGGUACCCUGGGAAUAAGCAUCGGCUAACUCCGUGCCAGCAGCCGCGGUAAUACGGAGGAUGCGAGCGUUAUCGGGAUUCAUUGGGCGUAGAGGGAGCGUUAACGCAGUAGUGAAAUCCUGCAGCUUAACUGCAGAACUGCCAGUGAUACUGAUAGCCUUGAGUUUGGUUAAGGUAGGCGGAAUGUGUAAUGUAGCGGUGAAAUGCUUAGAUAUUACACAGAACACCAAUUGCGUAGGCAGCUUACUGAGCCGACACUGACGCUGAGGCACGAAAGCGUGGGGAUCGAACAGGAUUAGAUACCCGAGUAGUC
rnacentral:rRNA from 1 species